rnacentral:rRNA from 1 species
AACGAACGCUGGCGGCAGGCUUAACACAUGCAAGUCGAACGCAUCCUUCGGGGUGAGUGGCAGACGGGUGAGUAACGCGUGGGAGCGUGCCCUUCAGUUCGGGAUAACCCAGGGAAACUUGGGCUAAUACCGGAUACGUGCGAGAGCAGAAAGAUUUAUCGCUGAAGGAUCGGCCCGCGUCUGAUUAGCUAGUUGGUGGGGUAAUGGCCAACCAAGGCGACGAUCAGUAGCUGGUCUGAGAGGAUGAUCAGCCACAUUGGGACUGAGACACGGCCCAAACUCCUCCGGGAGGCAGCAGUGGGGAACGUUGGACAAUGGGCGCAAGCCUGAUCCAGCCAUGCCGCGUGAGUGAUGAAGGCCUUAGGGUUGUAAAGCUCUUUCGUCCGGGACGAUAAUGACGGUACCGGAAGAAGAAGCCCCGGCUAACUUCGUGCCAGCAGCCGCCGUAA